UUUGUAGAACUCAUGGCUUAAAAAGAUCUUGUGUUGCAGGCUGGACCUUUACCUGCCUAAAAACAAUGAUGGCCCCAAGCCAAUUGUAGCAUUUGUAACAGGUGGAGCCUGGAUCAUUGGUUACAAAGCUUGGGGUUCUCUUUUAGGACAACAGUUAUCUGAAAGAGGCGUAAUAGUGGCAUGCAUUGAUUACAG